UAAUUAAAAAAUAAAUUAAAUUGGGUAAGGGCUCACUGUUGUUGGUACUUGGUCCCACAUAUUUCAUACUUAUUAUUUUUCUUUAGAUACUUAGUUAACUUGUCAUAUGCCAGACUCAUAUGUCAGCCUCCUCCUUAGUUAACUUGCUGUCACCAGUACGUGGAACUAUGGGGAAUUGUAGACAAAACUUGAAAUGGAGGUUCAAAAUUCUCUGUAACGAGCAGACAAACAGCCGGCUGAGACUCAAAACUCUCUGGACUACAUGUUUGGGGUGCUCCCAAAAAAUGUCUGCAGUCAUAAGAAACUUGCUGAUGACUCAUAGAUAUCGUCCUUGCAUGCACUUGUAGCUCCUCUUUGUUGCGUACGUGAGCAGUAUCAAUCUUUUCCCCUUUGCUUAGUUGAUCUUGCCUUUAAUAAAUUAAUUAAAUCAGCCAUGUUAUAACGCAAGAUUAGUUUAACUCUAGUUACAACUCAGCUAUCGAUAAAUACUAAAAAAGAAACAACAACCUUAAUUAGAAAUGAACCGAUUGCCAUACACCCAACAAUGCAGAAACGACAGCCGAACUAAAUACUAAAAAAAAAGAAAAUCUAUAAAUCCAUCUCUGUUUGGGUUGCUUCCUCUGUCUGGGUUUACUCAUCCCUAGCCGUAUUGGUGCUAAUUUCCUUCUGUAGUUAUUAUGGUAUUAUUCUUUUGUUGUGUUAUAGGUACAUUUGUUGCGAUGAAGGUUUAAUUUGCCUUCCGCCCUUGUGGUGUUCCCGCGGUGCCUAUCAACCUACCCAAUAGGCACAACGAGCACCCAUGUUCACACCCUGCAAAAUUUUGCUUGCUCCCCCGAAGGUUUAGCCUAUAAAAAAUUUCAGGGGUCGCCUAAAACACGCAUCCCUCCCCUGAAAAAGGGACUCCCUCCAUCUAAAGAGCCUUUGUGUUCUAUUCUUUGUGCAUGUAAUCACGUUGUGCUGUUCUCAUAUUAAUAUAUGUCGGCCAUUUCAGAAGAAAGACUAUAUGUAUAUUUUCUGUAAACAGAGGUAGCAAUAAAUUUAUCUACUGUUUAUUGUCCCUUUGCAAACGUACCUGCAGGUAUAGAAAAGUACUGAUAAAGCAGACUAUUAAAUGAUGGUUUUAAUAUUUUCUUCCGUCGAGUUGACAUCUCAAUCAAUUGAUGAAUCUCUGUACUCCCGCACCAACCACCUUCAAAUGGCACACUAUCUGGAUUUUAUCGUCCCAUACAUAAUCCCUUGCUCACUCUUUCCCACUACACAACCCCUUGCUCACUUGUUUAUAAUCAAAUCUCGGAGCAACUAUCUCAUUCAUGGUUCAUGGUAACAACAGCAUCACUUCCCCAUAGACACUUUCUCAACCUACGUUACUCAAUCGUGCAUGUACACCUAUACAAAGCUGGGAACGUGAGGGAUCAGCAAGUUAAGCAUGCCCGUUGUUACCUGGGUUCAUAUGUGCGUAAACCAACUGCAUUCGACUUGUCUGACUUAAUGGCGCGGCAUGAUUGAAGUUGACGAGUCCUAUCACACUACGGCGUGCUAGGUGGAGCGGCAGAGGUCGGACAGAGCACAGCAGGAUUCCACCGCUCGGUGCUGAUGU
rnacentral:lncRNA from 1 species